AUAUAUAUAUAUAUGUAUGUAUGUAUGUAUAUAUAUAUAUGUAUAUUAACCUUGUACGUGAUGCUCAGCUGCCUUUCUCUUGCUUUCCACUGAUAUCUAUCUAUAUAGUGACCUUGUAUGUCAUGAUGCUACACUGGAGGCUGCAAAAAGGUAAUGCUAGAUAUGGACUUUCAUUUCUUCCCUCUGGCUUUAUAGAGAUGAUGUCUAUUAAAAUGUGGCCUGAAUUGUUUUUGAAUUUCUUUAUCAUUUCAGUAUCAGUUACAAUGUCUUAAUCCAAUUAUUAUUUGGCAGCACUUCUUUGCAUCUUUUCUGUUCCGUGAUGAAGCUUUCAAGCUCAUAAAUGACGGAUGGUUGAAUCAUAUUAAUGGUGUCAAAGGAGCUACAAAACAGCAGGUGUUGAAUGAUAACUUUGUUUAUUUUGGUGACUAAUAUGAGUUCUUAAUUUUUUUUCUGCAUCAGGUUCUGCCUCAUUUCUCCGAUGAGCAGGCGUUUUUAAGUUUGGAAGAAAUUUCCAUAACAAAGAUGCCUUCACAAUGCCUUCACCUGAUUUUAACAAUGAGGUUUUACAAACAGGUCUAGACAUCAAAAGUUGCUUUAUGAAGUUUUUUAGCAUCUUAAAUGUACGUGGGAGGGUUUGGCAUCUGAUUCACUUCAAGAACGACUGGAUUUAUUUGGGGAUACAACAAACUUGAGGAGGAAAAGGUUAGAAAAGCAAUAUUUUGGGUUUUAAUCUUUCCCCUCAAUUUUUAUUUUUCCAUUAUUUCUUGCUCUGUCUCCCUCAUUGAUUGGUUCUUCUACUCUUCCAUCCUGUUCUAGGAAAGCAAGCUACAGAACCUAUGACCUGAAAAAAAUUAAUUAGUAAAUAUUUUAUAUUUCUUGGAAUAUGGUUAUUAUAUCUUUUGGGUUUUAACUAUAGAAUAUUAUUUUUCUGUUGCAUGUAGAUCUACAUUUAGGCUGGCAGAGAAUCUCUUCUCUACUCAAUGUAAGCCAAACUUUAAACUCACCCAUGGCUCUUGCUUUUACAUGUUAAUUUUGUAGCAACCCUUCUCCAUAGGGUUAGGAAUGUUACUUCCAUUACUUUACUUCACCUCAGGUGUUAAGAAAUGCCAUAAUUCUUAUUAAACUAGUUUUCUUAAUGUAUCAUAUGUUACGAAACCAAAAUAAUUAAUACAAUUUCCUUUAUAUAGUCAUAAUAGAAGGAAGCAAAUCCUAAAUACUGUGUAGGAUUCUUAUUAAAGCAUGAUUAAGUCAAGGUCUUCUAAAACUAGUUUUUGCUUUAUAACUUGUUCUAGCCUGCUGACCCAUCCUUAUCACCAUCAAUACAUGGGAUGUCUAAAAUGCCCUAUGUAUAGACUGCUCAUUAUUUUACUAAUGUAUCUAUUUCAUAAUCAUAUACAUGUUUUCUCACCUCUUUGGUUUCACUUUCAGCUCGAACUUACAGGUAUCGCAAGGUAUGCAUUAUUUGGAUCUUCUCUUCUAUUGUUGUGUUUGGACGAUUGGGAGCUUGUGUUUAUUGCCUUGACUUUACACUAAUGAGCUAAAAAAGAAUGCAAAGUAAACUAGUAAUGAACAUCAAUUUGGAUUUCUAUUAUAACUUGACUUCUCCAGUGGUUUGGAAAUCCACUUUGAACAUAUAGUGUAUUGUCCGUUGCUUUGUCUCUUUAUUUCUUAUAAUAAUUCAUUUUUUGCAACAUGCAAGCAUAUAGUACCUGCUCUGCAAUUGAUGGGUGUAGUUAGAAGUCAAUUUGUUUCAAUUUCUUGCUUGUGCAAGCAUAUGGCACCUAUACUCUCGCAUAUCAAUAUUGCAGUAUGACAUGCUUUAUGAUUAGGAUUGUUGGAGCAAAACUUUGCUGAAAAUACAUAAAUUAACUCUCUCUCUCUCUCUCUCUCUCUCUCUCUCUCUCUCUCCAUAUUAACUUUAAUUUUUCUUAUGCAUGCUUCCCAGCUAUAUAUAUCAUUUUUAGAUCAGACUUUACCGAUUAGGGGUGAUUCAAACUCUGUUUCUGGUGAUCAAUAAUGUUUUUUUAUUUUUUAUUUUUAUUUUUUGUAAUCUCUCUUUCUCAUGCUUUGUUUACCAUAUUAAGGAAUUAGAUCGGUUGAUAUUUAAUUAUUUACUUUUAAUAUAUAAGUAAAGGGGUUCUUAGAAUUAAAAACCAACUUUAAGUAAUUAAAGACCAUAUAUAUCUCAAUAACCCCCUGAUUUGCAGGUUAUGGCUCUACAAUGGGCAGCUGCAACUCUAACUAUGUAUCUGGAAUUACAGAAGAUUCACUGAAGAUGUUAUUCUUUUUUGCAAAGAUUUUGAUUGGAUCUCAAAAUGUUCAUUCAUGUUAUGUAUUUAGAUAGCCACAGUAUUUGUAUAACUGGAAUGAUUUUAAGUAUGGGGAUCUGUUCUUGUAUUUGUAUUAGUCAUUUAUAAAUACUUUGAUGGCAUUUAUUUCA